AUUUCCAGCUCCAAUAGCGUAUACUAAAGUUGUUGCAGUUAAAAAGCUCGUAGUUGAAUUUCUGGUCGUGGCGAUCGGUCCGCCCCUCACGGGGUGUGCACCUGGUCUCUACGUCCAUCCUCGGGGAGAGCAUGCCUGGCAUUCAGUUGUCGGGUAUGGGAUCCUCGUCAUUUACUGUGAGCAAAAUAGAGUGUUCAAAGCAGGCUUAGGCCGUUGAAUACAUUAGCAUGGAAUAAUAAGAUAGGACCUUGGUCUAUUUUGUUGGUUUGCAUUCCAAGGUAAUGAUUAAUAGGGAUAGUUGGGGGUAUUCGUAUUCAAUUGUCAGAGGUGAAAUUCUUGGAUUUAUGGAAGACGAACUACUGCGAAAGCAUUUACCAAGGAUGUUUUCAUCA
rnacentral:rRNA from 1 species